rnacentral:lncRNA from 1 species
GUCCUAGGGUUAUUGAGGUGAAGCAGGAGGAGCAGUACUCAUGCUGGGGAACUUAACAGAGGAAGGGGAGAAAUCUCACAGCUGUGCAGAGGACCUGCUGUAGCCUGGAGAGUAUCUGGUUGUCUCAGGCUUCAACCGAUGUUUUCAGGAAGCUUUCUUUCCAUGCUGAAAGAGAUUGUGAAGAGAAACUUCUGAGAGUUUGUGCAAACUGUAAUGGCUUCUCCACCUAAGUAAGCAGAUGCAUAUUUGGGGCAGUGACGAAUUGCAUUGCCACAAGACUGCUUUCUACAGGCAAGACUUGUUUCUUCCACGUGUUUUUGCAGACUUAAGAGAUGUGUGGGUUUGCAGUCCGUAUAGGCUGAAGAAAUGUAAGUGAAAAUAAAGUUCCAGACUGCAUGGCA